CACUGCUACCACUGCUGCCGUCGCCGCUGUUGUUGCUGCUGCCUCCGGUGGUGGUGGUGAUGAGGGUGUUGCUACUGCCGUCGCCGGAACUAGCCUGCGAUGGCGUUGCACUUGAUGCCCGAGUCUCGGUCGACGCUCCGCGAGUCUCUAUCGACGAAGCGCAUCCACCGUUCCCGUCUAACUGUUCCGGAGCCCCUGAAACCGCGUCGAGUGACAUAAUGGCCUUGCUGCAAAAGGGGCCGGACGAGCGGUCUUGAGUGUAUCCGUUGAGGGCGGCAGUCACCUUCGAGAAAGCGUUCACCGGGCGCUGCGGGUGUGUGCGGACGCGAUUCGCUCUGCAGUGAAUGCACAACCAAAUUUCUCGGAGCGCCCUUUUGAAGCAGAAAUUAUAUAUGCUCCUGAAAUCACAUGACGUGCGACUUGUCUCUACUUUUAUUAACUUGCAAGGAUAACAAGAGUGCUAACGUCAGCCGAGAUGAUAAUAGCGCGCAGGCGCAAUAGCAUACAGUUCGAACUAGAGCCGUCUUGCCCCUGUUUGAGAGAAAACGGGAGAGAGUAUCGGUAACAACGCGACAGUGAGUUCAAUUUCCAUCCUCGCCUCCUAUCCGA
rnacentral:lncRNA from 1 species